CACACACACACACACACACCCGGGCUGACUCCUUCCCUCACGCGCGUCUACUAUCCACUUUCGCCUGAGACAAACCCAGGGCUUUGUUUUUUUUGUUCUUUUUUAUUUGCUUGCUUUGGGUUUUCCCCUCAUGUACAGAGAGACUAGACCCACUUCACCCUUACUCUGCAGAGAGAGUGCCCCUGAAAACAUAGGCCCGGGAUUGUUCAUGCAUCAGACUGCAUGCUACUAAUUGAUUUGUGCAUUUACGCCUCCCUAUUAUUUUUGCUCUUUCAAAAAAAAAAAAUUGCUCGCUAACUUUCAUUUUGUAUUCAGUCCACUUCGACAAAUUUCUUCACAUACCCAUUCUGGAAGAGGGGACGAAGAAAAGAAGAGAACGCUUGCGGAAUGCACAGAUGAAAGGGGACAGCAAAAAUAAAGAGUGAGAAAAUGGAGAGCAUGUUCUGUGGGAGAGCAAGAGAGAUCUGACCUACGCACCCAACAUAGACACUCCCAUUCCAUAUAGCCCAAGACCUGAAAGUGCACGCGACGCGAGUGGUGUAGUCAGGGUAUAAGAAAUAGCACUGGACAAGGUCAGCCUAUGCUUUGUUGUUUCGGGAAUGCUGUGGUCUACUCUUGUCUUGAGUCUGUGGGAACUCCCCACUAAGGAGGAACUAUGGGAAGAAUUUCAGUUCAGCCUCAGUGAGGUAAAUCCGCCUCAAAUCUCUCUGUCUCUCUUUCUCCCUCUCUCGCUCUCGCUCUCACCCUCUUUUUCUCUUUCCCUUUC